rnacentral:rRNA from 1 species
GGGGGGGGCAAGCGUUGUUCGGAAUUACUGGGCGUAAAGGGCGCGUAGGCGGUUCAUUAAGUUGGAUGUGAAAACUCUGGGCUUAACCCAGAGCCUGCAUUCAAAACUGAUGGGCUGGAGUUCUGGAGGGGAUAGCGGAAUUCCUGGUGUAGCGGUGAAAUGCGUAGAUAUCAGGAGGAACACCGGUGGCGAAGGCGGCUAUCUGGACAGAAACUGACGCUGAGGCGCGAAAGCUAGGGGAGCAAACAGGAUUAGAUACCCUGGUAGUCCUAGCCCUAAACGAUGGAUACUUGGUGUGACUGGGAUUGAAUCCAGUCGUGCCGAAGCUAACGCAUUAAGUAUCCCGCCUGGGGAGUACGGUCGCAAGGCUGAA